rnacentral:rRNA from 12 species
CCUGGCGGCACUAGCGCGGUGGUCCCACCUGACCCCAUGCCGAACUCAGAAGUGAAACGCCGUAGCGCCGAUGGUAGUGUGGGGU